GACGAACGCUGGCGGCGUGCCUAAUACAUGCAAGUCGAACGCUGAAGGAGGAGCUUGCUUCUCUGGAUGAGUUGCGAACGGGUGAGUAACGCGUAGGUAACCUGCCUGGUAGCGGGGGAUAACUAUUGGAAACGAUAGCUAAUACCGCAUAAGAGUAGAUGUUGCAUGACAUUUGCUUAAAAGGUGCAAUUGCAUCACUACCAGAUGGACCUGCGUUGUAUUAGCUAGUUGGUGGGGUAACGGCUCACCAAGGCGACGAUACAUAGCCGACCUGAGAGGGUGAUCGGCCACACUGGGACUGAGACACGGCCCAGACUCCUACGGGAGGUAGCAGUAGGGAAUCUUCGGCAAUGGACGGAAGUCUGACCGAGCAACGCCGCGUGAGUGAAGAAGGGUUUCGGAUCGUAAAGCUCUGUUGUAAGAGAAGAACGAGUGUGAGAGUGGAAAGUUCACACUGUGACGGUAUCUGACCAGAAAGGGACGGCUAACUACGUG
rnacentral:rRNA from 1 species